GAUGAAGAACGUAGCGAAAUGCGAUAAGUAAUGUGAAUUGCAGAAUUCAGUGAAUCAUCGAAUCUUUGAACGCACAUUGCGCCCCCUGGUAUUCCGGGGGGCAUGCCUGUCCGAGCGUCAUUACAACCCUCAAGCUCAGCUUGGUGUUGGGCCCCGCCGCCCCGGCGGGCCCUAAAGUCAGUGGCGGUGCCGUCCGGCUCCAGCGUAGUAAUUCUUCUCGCUCUGGAGGUCCGGUCGUGUGCUCGCCAGCAACCCCCAAUUUUUUUCAGGUUGACCUCGGAUCAGGUAGGGAUACCCGCUGAACUUAAGCAUAUCAAUAAGCGGAGGA
rnacentral:misc_RNA from 1 species